rnacentral:rRNA from 1 species
UACGGAGGAUGCGAGCGUUAUCCGGAUUUAUUGGGUUUAAAGGGUGCGUAGGCGGUAUUUUAAGUUAGUGGUAAAACGUCGGGGCUUCACCUUGAUUGGCCAUUAAAACUGGAGUACUAGAGUACAGACGAGGUAGGCGGAAUAAGUUAAGUAGCGGUGAAAUGCUUAGAUAUCGCGCAGAACUCCGAUUGCGAAGGCAGCAUGCCGGCUCCACACUGACGCUGAGGCACGAAAGCGUGGGUAUCGAACAGG